rnacentral:lncRNA from 1 species
AAUAAAAUCCAACUCAUUUUUGGGAAUAGGGAGUGGAUGGAGGUGGAUCUGUGUUGGACACAAAUCCCAGACUGGUCAAAGUAUCAGCUGGUUGGAUCAUGCAGGGGAUGCAAUGUUUUCAACAUUCCUUAGCUGUCUUUUUCUUCUCCCAAAGAGUUUAUAGUCUAAAUGCUUAAGCACUUCCUAGAGAGGUAGGGGACUUUCAUAACUUCAGGAUGAGAAAGAACUGAUGUGGUUGUUUCCCUGUGACCAUGUACGUCUGGUGACAACCCAUGGCAUCAUCAAGGGUAGUACCAGCAGCAUUUCUCCAUGGUAGAGAAUUACACCUUGCCAGCAGCAGCAGACCUCAGCUUAUGGAACAGCAGCUUCUCUGACAGCAGUGAACACCUUGUCUGAGGAGCUGAUUCCUCCUCCCCAGGAACAGAUUCAGUGGAAGCUGCAGAGACUGUACUUCCCAAGACUGAGUACUGGGUACUCUCAAAUGGCUGAAGCAUUGGAUUUGAACUCACCCCAGGCAGAAGAUUUACCAGCUAGGAACCCAGCACUACAAUGAGUUCCACAGUAACCAGAAAUAUUAUUAUAUCUCUCCAGGUCUGUCAGUGAGGUAUGAUUAGGGCCUGUCUGCAGACCUAGAUAUGCAAAACAUACUAAAAAAGUACAAUUAUUG